AUUGAACGCUGGCGGCAGGCCUAACACAUGCAAGUCGAACGAGUGGCGGACGGGUGAGUAAUGUCUGGGAAACUGCCCGAUGGAGGGGGAUAACUACUGGAAACGGUAGCUAAUACCGCAUACCAUUGGAUGUGCCCAGAUGUGAUUAGCUAGUAGGUGGGGUAAAGGCUCACCUAGGCGACGAUCCCUAGCGGGUCUGAGAGGAUGAACAGCCACACUGGAACUGAGACACGGUCCAGACUCCUAAGGGAGGCAGGAGUGGGGAAUAUUGCACAAUGGGGGCAAGCCUGAUGCAGCCAUGCCGCGGGUAUGAAUAAGGCCUGCGGGUUGUAAAGUACUUUCAGCGGGGAGGCGUGACCCGCAGAAGAAGCACCGGCUAACUCCGGGCCAGCCGCCGCGGUAAUUA
rnacentral:rRNA from 1 species